UACGUAGGUGACCAGCGUUGUCCGGAUUUACUGGGCGUAAAGAGCGCGCAGGCGGUCGUUCAAGUCGAGUGUGAAAGCCCCCGGCUCAACUGGGGAGGGUCACUCGAUACUGAUCGACUUGAAGGCAGGAGAGGGAAGCGGAAUUCCCGGUGUAGUGGUGAAAUGCGUAGAUAUUGGGAAGAACACCGGUGGCGAAGGCGGCUCUCUGGUCCGGUUCUGACGCUGAGGCGCGAAAGCGUGGGGAGCAAACAGG
rnacentral:rRNA from 1 species